CUCAGUGCGGGCUGAUGGCAUCUCACCAAAAUGCGGUGCAAUAAAAGCAAAUCCUUGAAGAGUGGAAACCUUGCAGCCAGGUUCAUGGAAGGGCUCAAGAAUAUUGCUGUGCUACGGUGCUUCUGCAGGCAGGUUCACCAUCUGUGUAACUGUGGCUACCACCUUCCAUCUUGAACUCAGACACAGACCUCUCCUCCGAGCUCCAGAUCCAUAUAUCCAAUCUCCUUCUCAAUAGUCACUUGCAAGUCUCAGCCAUUUCAAAGUCAACCCAAAGUGGUAAUCUUCAAAUCUUUCCCAUUUCAACAAGUGACACCACCAUCCACUAAUUGUAAAAGUCAGAAACCUGGAUGCCAUCUUUGCUCCACUGUGAGAGGCUGCUCACACCACCCCCUACAUGCCCUGAGGAGUCUCCAGGGGCACCCACAGCCUCCUCUGGCUUUCUCUGGGUGACCCAGGGAGGGCUAGGCCCUGUGAGCCACACCGGGGCAGCAGCACUCACCAGCUCACAAGUGCUUCCCUCUUCUGCCUUUGCUGACAACAGUCCCCCAGGCCUUCCAUUCUCCUUCCGAUGAGGCUGAUGUAUUCUGUUGCAGUUGGAUGCACCUACAAAAAUCCUCUUCAAAAUCCCAUCACUUCACCACCAAGGAAUUACUAAAAUACCAUGAAGGAGGUGCUCAAAGGCGAUAUGGGGCAGAGGAAGGAAUAAGU